UGCAUAUCAUACUGAUUUGAUAUUUUGCAUUUGUAUAUAUGCAUUUGUGUAUGUAUAUUUAUUUACCUCUGGCUUUACGCUGAUGUCGAAGGGUAGGAUGGCCUUGUUCUCCCGAUAAGGUUCCUUCAAUGUUGGACCCCAGUAGGCGUUGUUGUCCAGAUCGGGUCUCUUGCCGGGCGCCGAGAGAUCGCGAUAGUUCUUAUAGCCAACGGCCACCAGGAUGGUCAGAGCUCCGACCAAGAUUCGUGGCCAGAUGUUCGCCAUUGUGUGUUUAUGCUAUAUUCUUUAUAUAUUCUAUAUACACAGAUCGGCGAACUGCGCAACUCCUCGCUUACGAUCGUCGAGCACAAAUGAUUUGUAAAGCGCAAGCUACCGGCAAACAAAAGCUUUUUGUUGGCUUGUGGAUUUCAAGUGGAUCGUAUUCCACACGGCAAUGCAAUGCGAGCAUGAUUGGACAAAUAAUUUGAGAAUUUCGGCGAGCUUUUGGCAACAAAUUGAGCCAAUUUUUCCCACAAAGGCGGUAAAAUCAUUGAACAACAUGGCCGGCAUCUCCAGGGCGGCAAAGUGGCUGCCCUGCUGGAAGUACAUCGAGUGGGUCAGGUUGGGGAACUUGUCCCUCAGCUGCCAGUCAGUCACCGAGGCCAGAUCGAACCGGAAGCGGGCACAGCCCAUGGGAACCGGGGACUGCACACGAUCCAGCUGGAGAUCCCUGUACGUCUUGGACACGUUCUCCAGGUAGAAACGAGCCGCUGUCGUGGCCGAGUUCGUCAGAUAGUAGACCAUCAGGUUGUCCAGCACAGCCUCCAGGCCGAAGACAGUGACUAUGGCGCCAAAGUCCUGCUUCAGGCCGGGAUUUGUGCAGGUCUGGAAUUUCUCGAGGAUAUAGGAGGCCAAGCCGACGGGACUGGAGGUCAGAGCCGCUCCAAUCGUAUCCGGCUUGGUGGCCUGGAUGUGAAAGUAACCGCUUUCCUCCAGCAGCUCCAGCCAUUUUUCCCACACGGGGAAGUGAUGAUCCACAAAGAAUCUGGACGGCAAGUACUUCUCCGGGAAGAAGCUGCCGUAGAUUCCCUUCAGAAUGGCCAGUGGCGUGUGCAGAACGCACAUGUUCGAGUGGUAACCGAUUACGUUCUCUGGAUACAAGGUGGCCAAGUUGCUGCCAAUGAUGCUGCCCCAAUCUCCGCCUUGGAUGAAGAACUUCUUGUGGCCCAGACGCAGCAUCAGGUUACGCAUCACAGUGGCCAUUUCAGCGGCAUUAAAUCCGGGACGCGUGGCAGCCUUAAGUUAUAAUAAUAAUAAUAAUAAUUAAAAUGAAGAAAUUCAACUGAAAAACAAAUAACACUCACAUC
rnacentral:lncRNA from 1 species